ACGGGAGGAGAACAACAGGGAUUGCCUCAGUAACGGCGAGUGAAGCGGCAAAAGCUCAAAUUUGAAAUCUGGCCCUCUCAGGGUCCGAGUUGUAAUUUGUAGAAGAUGCUUCGGGUGUGGUCCCGGUCUAAGUUCCUUGGAACAGGACGUCAUAGAGGGUGAGAAUCCCGUAUGUGACUGGGUACCUACGCUCAUGUGAAGCUCUUUCGACGAGUCGAGUUGUUUGGGAAUGCAGCUCUAAAUGGGUGGUAUAUUUCAUCUAAAGCUAAAUAUUGGCCAGAGACCGAUAGCGCACAAGUAGAGUGAUCGAAAGAUGAAAAGCACUUUGGAAAGAGAGUUAAACAGUACGUGAAAUUGUUGAAAGGGAAGCGCUUGCAAUCAGACUUGCACCUGGUGUUCAGCGGGGUUUCGUGCCCCGUGUACUUCAUCAGGUUCAGGCCAGCAUCGGUUUGGGUGGUUAGAUAAAGGCCUUGAGAAUGUGGCCCUCUUCGGGGGGUGUUAUAGCUCUCGGUGCAAUGUAGCCUACCUGGACCGAGGACCGCGCUUCGGCUAGGAUGCUGGCGUAAUGGUUGUAAGCGACCCGUCUUGAAACACGGACCAAGGAGUUGAAUAUCUAUGCGAGUGUUUGGGUGUUAAACCCCUACGCGUAAUGAAAGUGAACGGAGGUGAGAACCCUUUAGGGUGCAUCAUCGACCGAUCCUGAUGUCUUCGGAUGGAUUUGAGUAAGAGCAUAGCUAUUCUGACCCGAAAGAUGGUGAUCUAUACGUGAAUAGGGUGAAGCCAGAGGAAACUCUGGUGGAGGCUCGCAGCGGUUCUGACGUGCAAAUCGAUCGUCAAAUUUGCGUAUAGGGGCGAAAGACUAAUCGAACCAUCUAGUAGCUGGUUCUGCAUUUUCUCCCCCCC
rnacentral:rRNA from 1 species